UCCCCUCGAGCCAUGCGUCCUCUCCUCUCCCUCCCCUCCCCUUCUCUCGCCGCCAUCGCCCGUCGCUGGAGCCCUGCGUCCCCUCCUCCCCCUCCCCUCCACUUCUCUCGUCGCCGUCAUGCGUCGCUUUCUUCGCCCGAUGGCGGCGGCAUUGGCAGCGACCUGCACGCCAAGGGCGAUGGCGGUGGUGUUAGAUCUGAUGCAGCGCCAUGGAGAGAGGAAAGGAAAGAGAGGAGGGAGAAAGAGAGAGGAAAAAGGAGAUGGAGGUGCAUUGGCUGACGGGAGAGGGUCAUUGGCCUGGAAGGACGCGGACAGCAGCAGCUUGGACCAACAGCGUCCUGGCCGUGCCUUGCCGAUGAGCGGCAUGCAUGGUGCACCAGGGGGUAGUCACGGCUUUGGGAGUUGCGCAUCGAGCGACGACGACCACAUCUGCCUCCAUCACCAAGCAAGCUGAAGACGCGGCCCUCCAUCUGUGGCAGCGACGAGCGGCAGUCAGCACGAGGUCGGGGUGGAGGGUCAUGAGCACCAGCAGGCGCGUCGAGGGGCACCAGGAGGCACCAUGGUCACUGUGGGAGCACCCCAAACCCGAAGGCCAUCACCAGCCGCUACUUAGGUGAGCAAAUCCAUUCUCCUAUCGGAUUCAGAUAUCUUUGGGUAGUCAAGGUAAAUCCUUUAUGCUUGAGGGUACCGUAAACAGGCUAUUGAUUGAAUGAAACUUGUGGUUGGCUGCUAUUGUGUUGUUUGAUGUUUGGUUCAGAGGAAAAAUUGCAUUUAUUUAUAUAAAAGGUACUUAGUAAAAUUCAGUCUGAUUUAAUCAUCACUCAGCUUCAGGGUUAUGUAUCUCUGUACGUAUAGAUUUUCAUGUUUAGAGAAAAACCUGUAUGUCAAAACAAGAUGCCACGGUGAAUUAAUCUACAUCAAGAUAGCAUCAUGUUCUCAUCAAAAAAGGAGUUAAAGUUUCAGCCAUGAUUGAGACCGGUUUAAAAUGAAGUAAUGCUAAAAGGAAUAAUUAAUUGGAUAUAUAUGCAACACACUGCGAGAUCGGCGGUCAAGGCCACUUUCACGGCUUCAGGGGACCACCAACGGUCACCAAGGUGGCGGCGUCCGUGUAGGAGAGAGAGAAGAUGAGGAGAGAGAGAAGGAAGGAGAGGAGGGCCAAAGAGAGGUCAAUGGAGAGGGAGGUGCAGUGCCGUGAGAAGAAUACAAUGGGGCGCGGUCUUCUGGAGGUGCAUCAGGUCCAUGCCAAGGGCCUCUCGGGCAGUGAUUUCCUCCGGAAGAUAGACUCAUAGGUGGUCGUGCAGUCCCGGAGCCAGGAGCGCAAGGGCAGCACGGCCCGAGCUCUAAGCGAUAGACGGAGGUCUCAACUGGCUGGGAAGAUUUGACAAGAGAUGUGGAGAUGGGGCACGGGGAGGGGAGGGCGAGGCGCCCUGGAGACCCCGGUUGUGGCGCAGUGCGACGAGGCAGGCGUGGGACUCGCGGUGGCGGGCGGCCUCGUGCUGGAGCUGGUCCUGGCGGGCGGCCUCAGCCUCGUGCUGGAGCUGGUCCUGGCGGGCGGCCUCGGCCUCGUCCACACGGACAUCUCCUGGUUGUCGAACUGGUUGAGGGUCAUCCAACUUCUUGUUUAUAUAUCAGGCUACUGUUUGAUAAAAUGUUUCCUGACGUCCGGACCAGUCAUACUUAUGCAAGAUAACUACUUCAGGUUAGGCGGGAGAAAUAAAAAGGGUAACCAUAGAUAUAUGGUCUAGCAUCACGAGGUUCAAGUUCCUGCUGUUGAUCAACCGUUGCUUCGGUCGAGGUGGCUUAUGCUUGAUUAUUUUCUUCUUUGUAUUUUUGUUCAUGGCCUACACUGGUGUUAUCAUCUAUUCUGUUACAAAAAUUUCAAUGGCUUAGUUUCAUGUCCCAGGUACCUUCGGACAGGACAAUAAUGUAUGUAUUUACCUAUGGUUAUUGUUUCCUAUAAGAAACAUGAGCAUCUCACCUUGGUUUCCCCUGUAUCUGACUUGGGACAAUUUUAUGUGAGAUUUGUUUUGCAUUUUCUGUGUGUGUGGAUGCUUAAGCUUAAGCUUUUGUUAUUUGGUUCAGUUAGAGAUUAAAAAAGACUGAAAUUAUGGGCUCGCAGCGAGGAUUGAUGUGUCCAACCUGCACAAGAAUGCCAAGAAGUCCUUCUCGAAGACGAUUAAGGACAUGUACCUGCACUACAACGAGAGAUCUGGGCUGCCUUUUUGUGGCUUCCAAACUUGAAAUGUUUGUUUGGAAGUUAGUUUAGUUUUUUAUUAUGGAUUCACAGCUUCUCGCAUGUACCAUCCUCUCAGACCUUUAGAUUUCCAAAGAAACUAAAUAAAGAUA